AACCCUCAUCUUUUGUUUCUUUCUUGUGUGCCCAUUGUGUGGGAAACUUUUCCCCUCCAACGCGGCCAGGCCGUGGCUGCCGCCGGACCCGGCGAACCGCUACGCGACCGCAUCGUCACCCCACCAGAUGAUGGGCGUAGAACCAUCCCUUCCGCCCCGCAUUGCCGGAGGCCGGGGGCGGAAUGCGGCAGCGGCCGCGCUGGGCCGCGCAAACAUCCGCAGGGGAGGACGCGGCGCGGCGAAACCACGGAGCGGCGCAGCAGCGCGACCAGCGGAGAGUCCAUGAGACCCAGGUGCCUCCGCCGGCGCGGGUGGACCCAGCCGGGCCACCUGGCACCGCCCCUGCGAGCUCAUCUUCUUCAUUACCUGUUACGAUCACCUGGCCGGCCGACUCCCACCGUUCGGCGCCGCCUGUCACUUGGAGGGGAACAACAACAACCCCUCUGGGCAGCAAUCAGGGCAGGCCGGCGGCCGGACGGACCGUUACUAGGUCGAGUCGGCGGCACCAUCUACUUCCUCGUUCUGCUCUGCACUGUUCUGCUCUGCACUGUUCUGCUCUGUCCUGUUCUGCCCUGCCAUGUUCUGUGCGCUCUGUCCUGCGGGACUAGCCUUGCGUGCCGCGCCCGAGGCAAAUGCCAACCGCCGGAGGCGCGGUAUAUAAGCUGAGUCCCGCAGUGAUCUCUCUCUCUUCGCUCUCCACUCGGGAGCUACGUUGGACUGCCCAGUGCGCGACGUGUGCGUCCAUACCUCCUACCCAAUAUCAUAUCUACCCGGAGUUCGGAAUCGCUCUGUCAUCUAUAUUCAUCGGAGGGAUGUGGGAAACUUUUCCCCUCCAACGCGGCCAGGCCGUGGCUGCCGCCGGACCCGGCGAACCGCUACGCGACCGCAUCGUCACCCCACCAGAUGAUGGGCGUAGAACCAUCCCUUCCGCCCCGCAUUGCCGGAGGCCGGGGGCGGAAUGCGGCAGCGGCCGCGCUGGGCCGCGCAAACAUCCGCAGGGGAGGACGCGGCGCGGCGAAACCACGGAGCGGCGCAGCAGCGCGACCAGCGGAGAGUCCAUGAGACCCAGGUGCCUCCGCCGGCGCGGGUGGACCCAGCCGGGCCACCUGGCACCGCCCCUGCGAGCUCAUCUUCUUCAUUACCUGUUACGAUCACCUGGCCGGCCGACUCCCACCGUUCGGCGCCGCCUGUCACUUGGAGGGGAACAACAACAACCCCUCUGGGCAGCAAUCAGGGCAGGCCGGCGGCCGGACGGACCGUUACUAGGUCGAGUCGGCGGCACCAUCUACUUCCUCGUUCUGCUCUGCACUGUUCUGCUCUGCACUGUUCUGCUCUGUCCUGUUCUGCCCUGCCAUGUUCUGUGCGCUCUGUCCUGCGGGACUAGCCUUGCGUGCCGCGCCCGAGGCAAAUGCCAACCGCCGGAGGCGCGGUAUAUAAGCUGAGUCCCGCAGUGAUCUCUCUCUCUUCGCUCUCCACUCGGGAGCUACGUUGGACUGCCCAGUGCGCGACGUGUGCGUCCAUACCUCCUACCCAAUAUCAUGUAAGUAAAAGGGCGCGGCCCUUAUUGGGGCCUUGUAUAUAGCCGUGACCAGUGUAAUAAUGUGUGCGCAUGUAAAUAAUUACCUUGAAAAUUUACACAGUCUGUUGUGGGACAAAUGGUGGGGGAGAGAAUGAACGGCGAACUGAACUGAACGGCACCGAAUUCGGCAAACGUAACAUAGAACGGCUCGGAAGCUCAAACAAACGCUACCUUUUAAACGUCACGGUUAACUUCG